rnacentral:pre_miRNA from 1 species
UAAACUCAAAUUUAUAUGGAUUUCGAACGUUUGCUUACGUUUGCCGCUAAGGGCGCUGUUCCGACUGCAUAUAAAUUAAAAAA